rnacentral:rRNA from 1 species
UACGAAGGGGAGAAGCGUUGUUCGGAAUCAUUGGGCGUAAAGCGAACGUAGGCGGGCUUGUAAGUCGAUUGUGAAAGCCCUGGGCUUAACCCGGGAAUGGCAGUCGAAACUGCAAGUCUUGAAUGCUCGAGAGGAUGGUGGAAUUCCUGGAGUAGAAGUGAAAUUCGUAGAUAUCAGGAGGAACACCGGAGGCGAAGGCGGCCAUCUGGCGAGACAUUGACGCUGAGGUUCGAGAGCGUGGGGAGCAAACAGG